ensembl:lncRNA
CGACACAAUUAGCAUUGACACAGCGGUAAAAGCUGCAGGUCGACUUCUUUCUUCUUUUUUGCCAUCUCAUCAACUCAUAUUUAUACAAACAGUAUAUUUAUGAGAAAAGUAGUUUACAAGAGCACAUAGUUCUUUAUACAUCUAUCCAUUUAAUUCUGCUCACAAGCUGCAACAGAUGCAUCCAUAUUUUAAAAUGUUUUACUCUCUUAGCACAGUAUCAAAGAAUCCUGUGAAAUCAUUCAGUCAAGCAUUACUAUCGAGGCAAAACAUUCCUCUAGCAUCCCUGUCAUAUAUCAAAAAGUAAAAAAGUUUGAUCCUGUAUAGUUGCAUAACGAGGACCACAUGCUUGUCAGAGGAUUGAUCACUUGCUUUUUUCCUUUCUGAAAGGCCGCAUUGCACAAAUGUCUCACAAAAAAACUUGCCGAUUAAGACAAAGUAUCAACAGAUGUUAGUAUGUGGUUCUUAGUGAAGCCAUGGCGUUUCCUGACGAGCCUCACAUGGCGUUUUUGGACUUUACAUUGUAAAAAGGUUGAGAUGAGAGAAAGAGACCAGCUCUUUUCUCCUCACCUGCGUGCUUCUCAUCUUUAGCUUCAACAGC